rnacentral:miRNA from 1 species
AACGAGUAAGCUUUGGUUAUA